GACGAACGCUGGCGGCGUGCUUAACACAUGCAAGUCGAACGCUGAACCCGCUUCGGUGGGGGAUGAGUGGCGAACGGGUGAGUAACACGUGGGCAACCUGCCCCCGGCUCUGGGAUAACUCCAAGAAAUUGGGGCUAAUACCGGAUGUGACCGCUGGCCGCAUGGUCUGGUGGUGGAAAGGGUUUCCGGCUGGGGAUGGGCCCGCGGCCUAUCAGCUUGUUGGGGGGGUAGUGGCCUACCAAGGCGACGACGGGUAGCCGGCCUGAGAGGGUGACCGGCCACACUGGGACUGCGACACGGCCCAGACUCCUACGGGAGGCAGCAGUGGGGAAUAUUCCGCAAUGGGCGGAAGCCUGACGCAGCGUCGCCGCGUGGGGGAUGACGGCCUUCGGGUUGUAACCCUCUUUCAGCAGGGACGAAGCGCAAGUGACGGUACCUGCAGAAGAAGCACCGGCCAACUACGUG
rnacentral:rRNA from 1 species